GACGAACGCUGGCGGCGUGCUUAACACAUGCAAGUCGAACGGAAAGGCCCUGCUUUUGUGGGGUGCUCGAGUGGCGAACGGGUGAGUAACACGUGAGUAACCUGCCCUUGACUUUGGGAUAACUUCAGGAAACUGGGGCUAAUACCGGAUAGGAGCUCCUGCUGCAUGGUGGGGGUUGGAAAGUUUCGGCGGUUGGGGAUGGACUCGCGGCUUAUCAGCUUGUUGGUGGGGUAGUGGCUUACCAAGGCUUUGACGGGUAGCCGGCCUGAGAGGGUGACCGGCCACAUGGGGACUGAGAUACGGCCCAGACUCCUACGGGAGGCAGCAGUGGGGAAUAUUGCACAAUGGGCGGAAGCCUGAUGCAGCAACGCCGCGUGCGGGAUGACGGCCUUCGGGUUGUAAACCGCUUUCGCCUGUGACGAAGCGUGAGUGAGGGUAAUGGGUAAAGAAGCACCGGCUAACUACGUG
rnacentral:rRNA from 1 species